rnacentral:rRNA from 1 species
GUAAAUUCACGGCCACCGGGGCGGGCUAUGAUGCAGUCGAGCGAUGGAUUAAGAGCUUGCUCUUAUGAAGUUAGCGGCGGACGGGUGAGUAACACGUGGGUAACCUGCCCAUAAGACUGGGAUAACUCCGGGAAACCGGGGCUAAUACCGGAUAACAUUUUGAACCGCAUGGUUCGAAAUUGAAAGGCGGCUUCGGCUGUCACUUAUGGAUGGACCCGCGUCGCAUUAGCUAGUUGGUGAGGUAACGGCUCACCAAGGCAACGAUGCGUAGCCGACCUGAGAGGGUGAUCGGCCACACUGGGACUGAGACACGGCCCAGACUCCUACGGGAGGCAGCAGUAGGGAAUCUUCCGCAAUGGACGAAAGUCUGACGGAGCAACGCCGCGUGAGUGAUGAAGGCUUUCGGGUCGUAAAACUCUGUUGUUAGGGAAGAACAAGUGCUAGUUGAAUAAGCUGGCACCUUGACGGUACCUAACCAGAAAGCCACGGCUAACUACGUGCCAGCAGCCGCGGUAAUACGUAGGUGGCAAGCGUUAUCCGGAAUUAUUGGGCGUAAAGCGCGCGCAGGUGGUUUCUUAAGUCUGAUGUGAAAGCCCACGGCUCAACCGUGGAGGGUCAUUGGAAACUGGGAGACUUGAGUGCAGAAGAGGAAAGUGGAAUUCCAUGUGUAGCGGUGAAAUGCGUAGAGAUAUGGAGGAACACCAGUGGCGAAAGCGACUUUCUGGUCUGUAACUGACACUGAGGCGCGAAAGCGUGGGGAGCAAACAGGAUUAGAUACCCUGGUAGUCCACGCCGUAAACGAUGAGUGCUAAGUGUUAGAGGGUUUCCGCCCUUUAGUGCUGAAGUUAACGCAUUAGCACUCCGCUGGGGGAGUACGGCCGCAAGGCUGAAACCCCAAAGGAAUUGGCCGGGGCCCGCCCAGCGGUGGGAGCAUUGUGGUUAAUUCGAAGCAACGCGAAGACCUUACCAGGUCUUGACCAUUCCUUCUGACACCCUAAGAAUAAGGCUUUCCUCCUUCCGAGCAGAGGACAGUGGGUGCAUGAUGCCGUCAGCCUCGGUCGUGGAGUGUUGGUUAAGUCCCCCACCGAAGCCCAACGUUGAUCUUAGUUGCCAUCUUAAGUGGGCACUCUAAGGUGACUGCCCGGUGACACACCUGAGAAGGUGGGAUAGACUCAUUCUAUGGCUAUAGACCUGCUCACACCGUGUCUCCUAUGGGAGCGUACCAAAGAGAGCCUGC